rnacentral:rRNA from 1 species
GUAGUCCUGGCCGUAAACGAUGUCGACUUGGAGGUUGUGCCCUUGAGGCGUGGCUUCCGGAGCUAACGCGUUAAGUCGACCGCCUGGGGAGUACGGCCGCAAGGUUAAAACUCAAAUGAAUUGACGGGGGCCCGCACAAGCGGUGGAGCAUGUGGUUUAAUUCGAUGCAACGCGAAGAACCUUACCUGGUCUUGACAUCCACGGAAGUUUUCAGAGAUGAGAAUGUGCCUUCGGGAACCGUGAGACAGGUGCUGCAUGGCUGUCGUCAGCUCGUGUUGUGAAAUGUUGGGUUAAGUCCCGCAACGAGCGCAACCCUUAUCCUUUGUUGCCAGCGGUCCGGCCGGGAACUCAAAGGAGACUGCCAGUGAUAAACUGGAGGAAGGUGGGGAUGACGUCAAGUCAUCAUGGCCCUUACGACCAGGGCUACACACGUGCUACAAUGGCGCAUACAAAGAGAAGCGACCUCGCGAGAGCAAGCGGACCUCAUAAAGUGCGUCGUAGUCCGGAUUGGAGUCUGCAACUCGACUCCAUGAAGUCGGAAUCGCUAGUAAUCGUGGAUCAGAAUGCCACGGUGAAUACGUUCCCGGGCCUUGUACACACCGCCCGUCACACCAUGGGAGUGGGUUGCAAAAGAAGUAGGUAGCUUAACCUUCGGGAGGGCGCUUACCACCUUGUGAUUCAUGACUGGGGUGAAGUCGUAACAAGGUAACCGUAGGGGAACCUGCGGCUGGAUCACCUCC